rnacentral:rRNA from 1 species
AUUGAACGCUGGCGGUAUGCUUAACACAUGCAAGUCGAACGAUGAGAAAGAGCUUGCUCUUUCGAUUAGUGGCGGACGGGUGCGUAACGCGUAGGAAUCUACCUAUUAGUGGGGGACAACUUAGGGAAACUUAAGCUAAUACCGCAUACGCCCUACGGGGGAAAGAAGGGGAUCGCAAGACCUUGUGCUAAUUGAUGAGCCUGCGUAGGAUUAGCUAGUUGGUGGGGUAAAAGCUCACCAAGGCGACGACCCUUACCUGGUUUGAGAGAAUGAUCAGUCACACUGGACCUGAGACACGGACCAGACUCCUACGGGAGGCAGCAGUGGGGAAUAUUGGACAAUGGGCGAAAGCCUGAUCCAGCAAUACCGCGUGUGUGAAGAAGGCCUUAGGGUUGUAAAGCACUUUCAAUUGGAAGGAAAACCUCGAAGCUAAUACCUUCGAGUUUGACAUUACCUUUAGAAGAAGCACCGGCUAACUCCGUGCCAGCCGCCGCCGUAA